GACGUAGGGCGCGAGCGUUGUCCGGAUUUAUUGGGCGUAAAGAGCUCGUAGGCGGCUUGUCGCGUCGUUCGUGAAAACCUGGGGCUCAACCCCAGGCUUGCGGGCGAUACGGGCAGGCUAGAGUUCGGUAGGGGAGACUGGAAUUCCUGGUGUAGCGGUGAAAUGCGCAGAUAUCAGGAGGAACACCGGUGGCGAAGGCGGUUCUCUGGGCAUGUUCUGACGCUGAGGAGCGAAAGUGUGGGGAGCGAACAGG
rnacentral:rRNA from 1 species